CGCACCUUGCGCUCCAUGGUAUUCCGUGGAGUAUGCCUGUUUGAGUGUCAUGAAAACAAUCAACCUUGGUUUUGGGGCAACCCUUGAUCUCGGCUUGGACUUGGGCGUUUGCCAUCUUCACGGGUGGCUCGCCUCAAAUGAAUUAGCUGGACCUGUUUGUGAGGAAUGGUUCUACUCGGCGUAAUAAGUAUUUCGCUGAGGACAUGGCUUCGGCUGUGGCCUUCUUCUCGACGAUCGUCUGCUUUCCAACCCCGUUCUCCUCGGAGACGCACUUUUUUAUGAUCUGGCCUCAAAUCAGGUAGGACUACCCGCUGAACUUAA
rnacentral:misc_RNA from 1 species